rnacentral:rRNA from 1 species
UACGUAGGGGGCAAGCGUUGUCCGGAAUUAUUGGGCGUAAAGAGCGCGUAGGCGGUCCGAUAAGUCGGCUGUGAAAGUCAGGGGCUCAACCCUUGGAAGCCGGCCCGAUACUGUCGGACUAGAGUCCGGAAGAGGCGAGUGGAAAUUCCCGGUGUAGCGGUGAAAUGCGCAGAUAUCGGGAGGAACACCAAUGGCGAAGGCAGCUCGCUGGGACGGUACUGACGCUGAGGCGCGAAAGCGUGGGGGAGCAAACAGG